rnacentral:lncRNA from 1 species
GCUGUGAAGUGCCAGGCAGAGCGUCCCCCUGUGCAGGGACUGCCUUGCAGGAAAUGAGCUUGGACUCUGGUUUGCGUGGGAUUUUUGGAACCAAGGUACGGGUGGAGUUUCUAGUGUGCGCUAAUGUCAGGAAGGCAGGCAGUUUCCAGCGCUGGCAGCCAAACCUGCCCAGGCAGGUGACUUGAGAGGUGCUCGAGCAGAACUCGUUGCUUAAAAGGAUCCUGUCAGAUGCUCAAGUCUCAUGAAACGUAGGCCGGGUCUGGUCUAGAUGCGUUCCAGCGGAGAUAGCCAGCACGCGCUUUGUCUGGCUUUCACGUGAAUUCCCCAGGGGAGCUGCCAGCCAAUUGUUAACGAGUUCCCUGACGGUUUCUGAAUGGAUUCUUGUAGGACUCGGACAGUUUUGAGUCCAAGACGUGGGAAGACGGUGAAGAAACCAAAGGCCAGCGCUGCACAGAUGAGUAAGAAAGCCGAGAAGGAAAGCAAAAAGUAAACGCUGAGGGCUUGGCCGAUAAGCCUCGCAAGACGAAAGCAUCACGUGUAAUGCUUCCUCGGAGAUGGCACCGAAGGCAACGGACUGUAUCGACCGGUUUUCUGGCAUCGCCGCAGAGUCAGGCUUCUCCUUCUCUGUGACGAGGGGCUGAAGGAGCCGUUGCAAAGUGGAAAUCCUGGACACUGGGGCUGUAUUUGCGGUUGGUUCCUAACAGCUCGAUUCCUGUUUCAGAAUGCUUAUUAGCCGAACUUACGGUGUGCCGUUAGUAAUUACCAGUAUCCCACCUCUUUUAUUUUCCGUUGGAAUACGUACUAAAUACAACCAAAGCAUCUUUGUCUAAAUAAAAACGCAACAGACUUUUGACAAAAUGGUGCCUGCCUCUUUCAGUAGCUGGUCCAAACGUCCCUUGCUUGGGCUGGCAAUUGCAGCCGUGGCCUUGCACAUCAGCCUCCCCUUGAGGCACGAGGAGUUCAAGUGUGGGUGGGAUGGUGUGAAGAGCAGCGCUGGGAGUGGGGCAGGAGGAGAGGGCGGCGGGAGGGCUGCAGGUGAACGCGUCUUCGGGCCCAGAGCUCAGCCCCUACAGAUAGUUUGGGGUUAGGAAAAGGCAAAACAAAUGAGAGUCUUUCAAUCCCACAAAGCAGUGAACCACAGCACGAGCCAUUUAUUCCCUGUGUAG